CCCGGCGGCACUAGCGCGGUGGUCCCACCUGACCCCAUGCCGAACUCAGAAGUGAAACGCCGUAGCGCCGAUGGUAGUGUGGGGUCUCCCCAUGUGAGUAGGGAACUGCCGGCA
rnacentral:rRNA from 1 species